UGAGGAAUAUUGGUCAAUGGGAGAGAUCCUGAACCAGCCAAGCCGCGUGAGGGAAGACGGCCCUAUGGGUUGUAAACCUCUUUUGUCGGAGAACAAAACCCGGGACGUGUCCCGGACUGCGUGUAUCCGAAGAAAAAGCAUCGGCUAACUCCGUGCCAGCAGCCGCGGUAAUACGGAGGAUGCGAGCGUUAUCCGGAUUUAUUGGGUUUAAAGGGUGCGUAGGCGGUCCGUUAAGUCAGCGGUAAAAUUGCGGGGCUCAACCCCGUCGAGCCGUUGAAACUGGCAGACUUGAGUUGGCGAGAA
rnacentral:rRNA from 1 species